GAGACGCUGGCGGCGUGGAUUAGGCAUGCAAGUCGAACGGUAUCAUCCUUCGGGGGUGAGAGAGUGGCGAACUGGUGAGUAACACGUAGGUUAUCUACCCUCAAGACGGGGACAACCCAGGGAAACUUGGGCUAAUACCGGAUGUGAGCAACUUUUAGUUGUUUGAAAGGUGGCGUAAGCUGUCGCUUGGGGAUGAGCCUGCGUCCUAUUAGUUAGUUGGUGAGGUAACGGCUCACCUAGGCAAUGAUAGGUAGGCGGCCUUAACGGGUGGUCGCCCACACUGGGAUUGAGAUACGGCCCAGACUCCUACGGGAGGCAGCAGUCGAGAAUAGUCUACAAUGGUCGGAAGACUGAUAGUGCGACGCCGCGUGAACGAUGAAUCCCUUCGGGGUGUAAAGUUCUUUUAUAUGUGAGCAGUGCUUCUUAUAUUAACAGUAUGGGGAGAGAGAUAUUAGCAUAUGAAUAAGCAACGGCUAACUCCGUG
rnacentral:rRNA from 1 species